AUUGAACGCUGGCGGCAGGCCUAACACAUGCAAGUCGAACGGUAACAGGAAGACGCUUGCUUCUUUGCUGACGAGUGGCGGACGGGUGAGUAAUGUCUGGGAAACUGCCUGAUGGAGGGGGAUAACUACUGGAAACGGUAGCUAAUACCGCAUAACGUCGCAAGCCCAAAGAGGGGGACCUUCGGGCCUCUUGCCAUCGGAUGUUCCCAGAUGGGAUUAGCUAGUAGGUGGGGUAACGGCUCACCUAGGCGACGAUCCCUAGCUGGUCUGAGAGGAUGACCAGCCACACUGGAACUGAGACACGGUCCAGACUCCUACGGGAGGCAGCAGUGGGGAAUAUUGCACAAUGGGCGCAAGCCUGAUGAAGACAUGCCGCGUGUAUGAAGAAGGCCUUCGGGUUGUAAAGUACUUUCAGCGGGGAGGAAGGGAGUAAAGUUAAUACCUUUGCUCAUUGACGUUACCCGCAGAAGAAGCACCGGCUAACUCCGUG
rnacentral:rRNA from 1 species